AACGUAGGAGACAAACGUUAUCCGGAGUUACUGGGCGUAAAGGGCGUGUAGGUGGUUCUGUAAGUCUGGCGUGAAAUUUCUCGGCUUAACCGAGGCAGGUCGUCGGAUACUGCAGGGCUAGAGGACGGUAGAGGCGUGUGGAAUUCCGGGUGUAGUGGUGAAAUGCGUAGAGAUCGGCAGGAACACCCAGGGGGAAACCAGCCGACUGGGCAAGUGCUGACGCUGAGGUGCGAGAGCGUGGGGAGCGAACCGG
rnacentral:rRNA from 1 species